CUCGUAUUAGCUUAGUGGUACAGUACUGGUACGUAAAACCAAGGGCCCGGGUUCAAUUCUCGGCGAGG
rnacentral:tRNA from 1 species